rnacentral:lncRNA from 1 species
CAUGGUUUGUUUAAAAAAUGCUGUAAAAAAUCUAAAAAGUUAGCCUAUUGAAAUAAAUGCACUUCAAUAACUUGCUAAACAUAGUUAGUUGCUAUUAUCCAUGUCUCUGCAAAAUGUUUUGGAUAAAAUCCUAUUUAAAAAAAGUCAAUCCUAUACUUGAUAUGCUGAACAUAUUAGACAUCCACGACAUUUCUUGCAGCAAUUAAUGGGUGCGGAUACUUGCAUAGUUCAGAAACAAUAUAUAACCAACAUGGGGCCAUCCAGUUCCAUAGUCUAGAUCAAUUGCUAUUGCACUUCAAGGGUCCCUUGGAUUCAAUGGCUCUGGCCGUAUUCUUACAUUCACUGGUUUAUCUUGUUCAUGAAGAGNNNNNNNNNNNNNNNNNNNNCUCAUCACUUAACUUGUCAUCACUUUCUACCCUAUCACCUCUUUCAUUAUCAUAUCCAUCCUGAACAGGCUCAUGACCAGCCAACAACU